rnacentral:tRNA from 1 species
UAAUAACUUAUGAACUAGGAACUUAGGAUACAUUCUUUAAACCGUAGGCCUUCAAAGCCUAAAACAAGAGACAACUCUUAGUGDCUG